CAGUCGCCACGGGAAUACGUAGGUGGCAAGCGUUGUCCGGAAUUAUUGGGCGUAAAGGGCUCGCAGGCGGUUUCUUAAGUCUGAUGUGAAAGCCCCCGGCUCAACCGGGGAGGGCCAUUGGAAACUGGGAAACUUGAGUGCAGAAGAGGAGAGUGGAAUUCCACGUGUAGCGGUGAAAUGCGUAGAGAUGUGGAGGAACACCAGUGGCGAAGGCGACUCUCUGGUCUGUAACUGACGCUGAGGAGCGAAAGCGUGGGGAGCGAACAGGAUUAGAUACCCGCGUAGUCCCUGUCUCUUAUAC
rnacentral:rRNA from 1 species